rnacentral:tRNA from 1 species
AGCUUUAUAGUCAAUAAUGAUUUUAAAUUGCAAAUUUAAAGGAGGGGAGACCCUAAGGCUU